AGAUGCCAAUGAAGGAUUCAAGAGUGACAUUUACUAUUGGAACAAGUUGAUUAUCUGAAGAUAUACUCAACUGCUUCAUGAAUGCUAGCAGCUACAAUUAUUUCAUCCUUAAUUACAGCAAUAUGCAGUUGGAAAACUUCUGAAAUGCCAGCUUCGCUGCCGCUGCUACUGUGUGGUAACCGGAAUCUCUGGAGCAGAAGGCCCCGAAAUCCUCGGCUUUGCGUGUUUCAGCGGCCCGGGCGAGGUCGAAGGCGCUUAGCAGAGGAUGGCCGUCGGGAGGCUGUAUCGGAGAGGUUGGUCGGAAGCUCGAA